GUGGGGAAUAUUGGACAAUGGGCGAAAGCCUGAUCCAGCCAUGCCGCGUGUGUGAAGAAGGUCUUCGGAUUGUAAAGCACUUUAAGUUGGGAGGAAGGGCAGUAAGUUAAUACCUUGCUGUUUUGACGUUACCAACAGAAUAAGCACCGGCUAACUUCGUGCCAGCAGCCGCGGUAAUACGAAGGGUGCAAGCGUUAAUCGGAAUUACUGGGCGUAAAGCGCGCGUAGGUGGUUUUGUAAGUUGGAGGUGAAAUCCCCGGGCUCAACCUGGGAACUGCCUCCAAAACUGCAUGACUAGAGUACGGUAGAGGGUAGUGGAAUUUCCUGUGUAGCGGUGAAAUGCGUAGAUAUAGGAAGGAACACCAGCGGCGAAGGCGACUACCUGGACUGAUACUGACACUGAGGUGCGAAAGCGUGGGGAGCAAACAGGAUUAGAAACCCGGGUAGUCC
rnacentral:rRNA from 1 species